GCUGCCUGUGCUGAGUGAAACUCUUCGGUGGUGAAGCGUGUUCAGAUGUGCGAGUUGCAGCGGUGGAAGUGUGUCCUCAAAAGAGCAGCGCGGUUGAGUCGGCACCUUUUGUCACCGUCGGCAGGCAGAGGAGGCAGCGGAGGCGUUAUGUGGGCAGCUGACAAAGUGCUGGAUGGGUCUCUUUCCUUGGUAGUUUUGGCUGUGUCUAGUGACCUAUUUGCAUUCACUUGCUCGUUUUAAUUGAUUUUUAAUGGGAUGAACAAGGUGGUUUAUAUCACUGAGAAACUAGCAGUUCUUUGCAUGCUUUGCUUUAGUGCUAGGGGAGGAGACCCGAGUAACCGGUAGCUUUGCACAACUUGGUCUGUCACUGGAACGGCUGGUGGGGGUGGCAGCAAGAUGGAGAGAUGAGAGCAAGAUUGAGCUGGUUGGCUGCGUGUGCAAAAGGGUUGGUUCAGUAGGCACUGGAAGAUGCAGAGAACUGCCCAGCAUCAGCCAGAGAAGCGCUGAAUUUGGAACAUGUCCUGCAAACAGCCAUGUGUGCAGAUGACUUUGAGCUCCUGGGCAGAUGCCAGAUUCUUUCCAAGAACUUGGAGCAGAGUGUGGCGGUCCUCUACAGCAGCCGAGUCCAUCUGAUAAUGAUUUAAAUCAUCUGUUCAGAAGAAAUAUUAAUGGGACUCCCAUAAGACUCCUGAUAUUUUGCUGAUGUUCCUGUUAGAAGACCUAUCACCUCAUUUUGAAAACAGUAAUAAAAGCACCAGUAUUCAAACUGCAGGGCUUAAAUGCUCACAAUCACAUAUUAGGCUACUUCCAGGCAUUCUGCUGCUGAACAGAAUUACUAGUUAUGAAUUGGUGGUUUGAGGUGCUUAUGCAGUGCACAAGAAGGUAGACAUCUAAGAAUGAUACUGUCAGCAGGAAGUUUUUUGUUUGUUUUGUUUUUAAAAAGAGGAGGGCUAAAUUAGCUGGUGAGAAACAUCAGAAGAAAAGUCUGAUUUCAGCUUAUCGGAACAGGACACCUCUUCGUGUCCAAGUCGGAUACCUGUGUGUCUUUCUGACUUGUGAUAGUGCCUGGAAAUGAAGUCCCUUAUUGUGCCUUAACAAUUGAGCUCUACUUAGGCGGUUUUAUUGUCUCUUGAAGCUUUUUAGUGGGAUGGCUUGAGCUCCAGCUGUUCUGCGUGCCAGGUAAAUAAUUUCAGCAUACCAUCAAGGCAACAUCUGGCAGCACCAACAUAUCCUCGGUUUUGAGAGCAUUAAGAAUGCCUAAAAUGUACCUACAGUUCUGGACUGCACAGUUAAAAUUUGUGUGGGAUGCCUAAAUUGUGAACGCUGACGAAACGUCUGUGAAAAGUUCCUGGUUAUUUUGAAGAUGUGCUAGUUUGAAAAAGUUGUGCAACAAGCAGCAGAAAUGUAGAAGUGCUAUGGGGGUUUUACUGGCAUAGAAACUCAGGUCCCAUGGGAAAUUGACAUUUUGGAAUCUGAACUGUAUCUAACUUCCUGUUUUGGAUCUAACCUGGAGACCUAUAACCAAGUUUGUUUCUGAACUAGAUGGGUAAUUAAAUAAUAUUUAUUCCCACGGGGGUGUUUGUGUUAGCUUUAAAAUACAACAGUCCAUUUCAUAAAUGACAGAGGUGAAGAAUAUGUACAAAAUGACCUAAGUCAGUUUAACUGAUGGGUGAUCUACAGGAUCUAAGGUAGUUUUUUGACUUAGAUCAUGUAAGGAUGCCUUUGGCAGAGAGGGGUCAUGCUCAUAAUCGAAGGAAAAAUGUCUGAGCCCCACAUUUAACAAACAGAAUGAAAGAUCAUGUUCAAGCUUGAAUGUGGACCUUUAAACGAGACACUCUUUAGACUUCAAGCUUGCUUCUUAAUGACACUGAUCUCAAUACAUGCCUCUCUGUAGUAACACUCUGCUUUGUGAAUUGUGAAGCCGUCCUGGAACAAGGACAUGUAGUAUGACCUUUGUAAUAGAGGAGUAGAAUUAUUCUUUGGGAUAAGCAAGCUUCUUGCAACUAUUCUGCCUGACCAGAGUCUGUUAGACCCUUGUUCCCUAUUUGCAGAUGGUAGUGGUGCUUGAGUCAUUCAGUAUUACAGAGGAAGCAUAAUUUUAUAUACAUCCAACUUAGAUGCAGAGCUGAGAAAUGUUACCUCUAAUGAGAACACCUCUUCCCUUUUUUUCGUCCAGGAGUUGAGUGCCAAAAUCUUUCAUGGGACUGAAAAAAGACUGGGGAAACUCAAGAAAGUAGAAUUGAUCUGCUAAAUACAAAGAUACAAUAACAUAUUGGAUCGAGUCUUGAGCCAUAGGAAGCUAGGGACUGGCAUUAUAACUAUAUGCAUGUCCUGUUCUUUGCUUCCUGUGCAUUCACUUCUGACCAGUGUUGCAGGAACAGGGUCCUGGGCUCUCAGUUUCUGAUUUAACUUGGUAUGGUAAUUUGUACAAAUUGUAAUUCACUUAAAAUGCUGGAAAUGUCUUCUGGUCUUUCAUAACUGUGGGAAAACCCCAGGGCACUCUCUGCCUGUAAGACAUUUUCUUGUGCCCCAGUUAAGUUCUACUAGCAUACUCUGGGUAUAGCUACAAUGACAGGAGUGCUUUUGUUGGCUUAGCUUGUUUUAAGAACGUGCAGUUGCAGUGAGGCAAGAAAAGCUCCGAUUAGCGUGUAUUUUGUGUCCACGAGGGGGCUGUGGCAGCUCCGGUCUGGGGGCUGGUGAUCCCCCAGUUACGCACUUCACUAAAAUGGCAGGCCGUAACUGAAUGCUUGGUGCCUUUGAGAGUGAUUACAUCUGUUCUUGUUCAACACCUUUGAAUUCCCUUAUCUCUUCUAUAUAAAGUUUUAAAAAAAAAAAUUACAGUAAAGUAUUUUUCUGUGUCAUUUUGAGAAAUGCAUCUCAUGGUACAAAAACUUGCCUCAACUUUAAUAAACAGAACUGGCCAUUUGAUCUCCUCUCUGGCAGAAGACAGAUAGUACCAAGCAUGUGUCAUCACACAUGAGUUUCAACUGUAUGAGAUAUUUCUCCAAGUAAAAAUUCAAGAGUUUUGCACACAUCAAUGUAUUUGUAAAGUAGAUGCAAUUGUUAUGGAGAAUCCUAGGGUUUUUUUUUUAAAUCUUGGUAUUUUAAACUUGGUACUACAAUAUUUCAAUAAAGAUUUUAUUUUUUUCAUCAUG